rnacentral:rRNA from 1 species
AGAUGGCGACCGGCGCACGGGUGAGUAACACGUAUCCAACCUGCCGAUAACUCGGGGAUAGCCUUUCGAAAGAAAGAUUAAUACCCGAUGGCAUAAUAAAGCCGCAUGGUUUAAUUAUUAAAGAAUUUCGGUUAUCGAUGGGGAUGCGUUCCAUUAGGCAGUUGGUGAGGUAACGGCUCACCAAACCUUCGAUGGAUAGGGGUUCUGAGAGGAAGGUCCCCCACAUUGGAACUGAGACACGGUCCAA